rnacentral:misc_RNA from 1 species
GAUGAAGAACGUAGCGAAAUGCGAUAAGUAAUGUGAAUUGCAGAAUUCAGUGAAUCAUCGAAUCUUUGAACGCACAUUGCGUCCGCUAGUAUUCUGGCGGGCAUGCCUGUCCGAGCGUCAUUUCAACCCUCAAGCCCCCGGGCUUGGUGUUGGGGAUCGGCGAGCCUCCGCGCCCGCCGUCCCCUAAAUCUAGUGGCGGUCUCGCUGUAGCUUCCUCUGCGUAGUAGCACACCUCGCACUGGGAAACAGCGCGGCCACGCCGUUAAACCCCCAACUUCUGAACGUUUGACCUCGGAUCAGGUAGGAAUACCCGCUGAACUUAAGCAUAUCAAUAAGCAGAGGA